UACGUAGGUGACAAGCGUUGUCCGGAUUUACUGGGCGUAAAGAGCGCGCAGGCGGUCGAUCAAGUCGAGUGUGAAAGCCCCCGGCUCAACUGGGGAGGGUCAUUCGAUACUGAUCGACUCGAAGGCAGGAGAGGGUAGUGGAAUUCCCGGUGUAGUGGUGAAAUGCGUAGAUAUCGGGAGGAACACCGGUGGUGUAGACGGCUUUCUGGACCGUAACUGACGCUGAGACACGAAAGCGUGGGUAGCAAACAGG
rnacentral:rRNA from 1 species